GAUAGGACACCAGUUACUCGCAGUAUCGAAUAUCAUCACUUCAUACAAAUUUAUCACAGCACAUCUUGGACAGUUAUUGGAGACUGGUGUACGAGUAUCGUCUGAUGCCAAGAGUAAAGCAAAGGGAUUUAUGAACCUGCUGAAGUCUAAGGAUAUUGUUUGCUUUCUGCAUUUCAUGAUUGAUGCCUUUACACCACUCAGGAUAUUGUCCCUAGCGUUACAGGAGCAGAAUGGUAUACUGGCCAAUCAACAUGCUGCUCUCAAUGCGACAUUGGAAGCUAUUGAAAAACUGAAGACAUGAUGAGGAUGUUAGAAUGUUGGUGGAACACUUCUCUGAUAUACUAAAGGGAGCCGGAGUGUGUGUUGAAGAAGCUGAAUUGGAAUGGACUCCACUGAAAAAGUCACUCUUUGAUAGUGAUAUGAAGAAUUCAUCAUUGCCUGACUGGGUAGAAGUGCACAGACGGUUUAGUGAUGAAUAUUCCAAAAUACUGGCAGUUAUGGAUUUGAUUUUAACAAUGGCACCAUCUAGUGCACAGGCAGAAAGAGGCUUCAGUCAAUUGAAAUUAGUUA